rnacentral:rRNA from 1 species
UGAGGAAUAUUGCGCAAUGGGCGAAAGCCUGACGCAGCGACGCCGCGUGGAGGAUGAAGGCCCUCGGGUUGUAAACUCCUGUCAGUGGGGAAGAGAACGGACGGUACCCACUGAGGAAGCUUCGGCUAACUACGUGCCAGCAGCCGCGGUAAGACGUAGGGAGCAAGCGUUGUCCGGAAUUACUGGGCGUAAAGAGCUCGUAGGCGGGAGCGUGCGUCUGAAAGGAAAUCUCAGGGCUCAACUCUGGGGCUUUUUCAGAUACGGCGCUUCUUGAGUGUAACAGAGGAAAGCAGAAUUCCCGGUGUAGCGGUGAAAUGCGUAGAUAUCGGGAGGAAUACCAGUGGCGAAGGCGGCUUUCUGGGUUACCACUGACGCUGAGGAGCGAAAGCGUGGGGAGCGAACGGG